CAGAAUGGACUUUCUCAUUCUCCAUUUGCGGGGGAGAGCAUCAGGUUCUAGAGCUGAUCCAGAAACUGACAUUCCGACACUGAGAAGCCUGCCCAAGGUCACACAACUGCCAAGUGGUGGAGCUGGAAUUUGAACUAGCGUCUGAGUUCAAAGCCCACGCGUGUCUCACCAUCCACCAUACCACCGGGCCCACCCUUGCCUCAAACAAUGCCCAGUGGCUGUUCUCCGUCACCGUGUUCCACUCAUGACACUGAUGUUUCUUGUUGUCUGGAUGGCUCUCAGAGUCUUCUGUGAACUGCUACUGCCUAAGGGAGAAAUGAACUCACUCUGACCUUACACAGCAGAGCUCAACAGAGGGAUUCCUUCUGCCACCUUGGGAAGAAUGUUCCAUUGUGGCAUCAUCGUUACCAUGGUGUCACCAAGCAAACGUCUAGACAUGGAGACCUAGGAGGAGCCAGGAUGAAAAGCCUGUCUGUUUCCUAAACUUGGCAGGGCUCUUCUGGAGAAGAAGAAGACAUCCCUUUUGCUGGAUCACAAAGCCCGGUCCGUGUGGCCGUGGUCUGUCUACGUCCUCAGUGGGUGCUGACGCACCCGCCCUGUGUCUACAUGACUUUGUCAGAUUGGAUGGAAGAAGCCCAUAACUAGGCUGGGUUGGGUUUUUCCAACCCCCACGAGCAUUCUGACACUCUCAGUGUGGUUUUCUGGGGCUCCGUUUCCCUUAGUGUUUCAGCUUGCAGGUCUGAGUUAAGCCACCCUGUGCCAAACCACGGGGCCAGAUAGGAUCUGCACUCCAGCCCUCACGAGCAGCUUUGGUUUCAGCACAAAUUCCAGAACCUGAGAGAAGUGUUGACAACAUUGUGGUAACACGUAACUCCGCGGAAUCCCGGGCUGCCAGCUCAGUUGCAUGAAAGAUGUUUGUUAGACAGCCUCUUCUCAUGUCCUGUGCAGGCAAUCUUGCCCCUCGCUUAGGAGGGGGGUUCCUGGCAUUUGCUGCGUUGGCCUCACCCCACUCUGGGUCCUCAGAGGAAGCUGGAAUGAGGCAGUCCCAUUUUAAUCUCCUAUGUCUUACAUAACAACAAAGUGCAGGAAUAACCAAGCAAAAUGGACGGAAAUACAACAGUGGAGGUAGACUUUCACCCACUUAUGUCAGUCCUUGUCGGACUAGAUCG